rnacentral:tRNA from 11 species
GCGCAUUUGGUGAAAGAGGUAAACACGACGGAUUUAAAAUCCGUUCCUAUUGGUUAUUGGUUCGAGUCCAAUAAUGCGCA